GAAUAUUGGACAAUGGGGGCAACCCUGAUCCAGCCAUGCCGCGUGUGUGAAGAAGGCUUUCGGGUUGUAAAGCACUUUCAGUGAGGAGGAAAAUUCAGUCAUUAAUACUGGCUGGCCUUGACGUUACUCACAGAAGAAGCACCGGCUAACUCCGUGCCAGCCGCCGCGGUAAUACGGAGGGUGCAAGCGUUAAUCGGAAUUACUGGGCGUAAAACGCGCGUAGGUGGUUUGAUAAGCGAGAUGUGAAAGCCCCGGGCUUAACCUGGGAACGGCAUUUCGAACUGUCAGGCUAGAGUAUGGUAGAGGAGUGUGGAAUUUCCUGUGUAGCGGUGAAAUGCGUAGAUAUAGGAAGGAACACCAGUGGCGAAGGCGGCACUCUGGACCAAUACUGACACUGAGGUGCGAAAGCGUGGGGAGCAAACAGGA
rnacentral:rRNA from 1 species